rnacentral:tRNA from 1 species
GGGACGCGAGCUCGAUCGGCAGAGCACCGGGCUUUUAACCCGAGGGGUGAGGGUUCGACUCCCUCGCGUCCCA